rnacentral:pre_miRNA from 1 species
CUUAAGUGCAAUUAAGUUUUCGUGUCCAAUUUUAAUCGUCUGUCUUAUUUAUUUUUUUUAUAAUUAGUAUUUUUGUUGUUAUGAGAUAAUAAAAUAUAAAUAAUACUUUACAUAUGGCUUAUGUUUUUUCGUUUUUUUAAAAAAAAUUAAAUAAGAAGAACGGUUUGGGAAAUAAUGACUGCGCUUAAA